rnacentral:ncRNA from 1 species
AUAUUACAUUAUAGGUGAGGUUAGAACUUCCCUUAAUAAAGACGGAGGUGGUUCUAGUGACCUAUAAAACACACAUAUGAUUAAGGAAUUGCCAACAACUUUGUGGCAUUAGCUACAAUUUUUA